rnacentral:rRNA from 1 species
UACGUAGGGUGCGAGCGUUAAUCGGAAUUACUGGGCGUAAAGUGUGCGCAGGCGGCCGCGCAAGUCGAGUGUGAAAUCCCCGAGCUUAACUUGGGAAUUGCGCUCGAAACUACGUGGCUGGAGUGUGGCAGAGGAAGGUGGAAUUCCACGUGUAGCGGUGAAAUGCGUAGAGAUGUGGAGGAACACCGAUGGCGAAGGCAGCCUUCUGGGCCAACACUGACGCUCAUGCACGAAAGCGUGGGUAGCAAACAGG